rnacentral:rRNA from 1 species
GACGAACGCUGGCGGCGUGCUUAACACAUGCAAGUCGAACGGAAAGGCCCUGCUUUUGCGGGGUGCUCGAGUGGCGAACGGGUGAGUAACACGUGAGUAACCUGCCCUUGACUUUGGGAUAACUUCAGGAAACUGGGGCUAAUACCGGAUAGGAGCUCCUGCUGCAUGGUGGGGGUUGGAAAGUUUCGGCGGUUGGGGAUGGACUCGCGGCUUAUCAGCUUGUUGGGGGGGUAGUGGCUUACCAAGGCUUUGACGGGUAGCCGGCCUGAGAGGGUGACCGGCCACAUUGGGACUGAGAUACGGCCCAGACUCCUACGGGAGGCAGCAGUGGGGAAUAUUGCACAAUGGGCGGAAGCCUGAUGCAGCAACGCCGCGUGCGGGAUGACGGCCUUCGGGUUGUAAACCGCUUUCGCCUGUGACGAAGCGUGAGUGACGGUAAUGGGUAAAGAAGCACCGGCUAACUACGUG